AGGUUGACCUCGGAUCAGGUAGGAAUACCCGCUGAACUUAAGCAUAUCAAUAACGGAGGAAAAGAAACCAACAGGAUUGCCUUAGUAACGGCGAGCGAACGGCAACAGCUCAAAUUUGAAAUCUGGCUACUUCGUAGUCCGAGUUGUAAUUUGUAGAGGAUGCUUUUGGUGAAGUGCUUUCUGAGUUCCCUGGAACGGGACGCCAGAGAGGGUGAGAGCCCCGUACAGUUAGCAACUGAUCCUUUGUAUAGCUCCUUCGACGAGUCGAGUAGUUUGGGAAUGCUGCUCUAAAUGGGAGGUAUAUCUCUUCUAAAGCUAAAUAUAGGCUAGAGACCGAUAGCGCACAAGUAGAGUGAUCGAAAGAUGAAAAGCACUUUGAAAAGAGAGUUAAACAGACGUGAAAUUGUUGAAAGGGAAGCGCCUAUGACCAGACUUGUCUCUAUCAGUUUUGGUAGUUUUCGGACUGCUUUACUCUGUUAGUACAGGCCAACAUCAGUUUGUUGUCGGGGAGAAAGGCUUAGGGAAUGUGGCUCUUCGGGAGUGUUAUAGCCCUUUGCAUAAUACCUUCGGCAGACUGAGGACCGCGCUUCGGCAAGGAUGUUGGCGUAAUGGCACAACGACCCGUCUUGAAACACGGACCAAGGAGUCAACCUUAUGUGCGAGUGUUUGGGUGUAAAACCCCAGCGCGUAAUGAACGUGAACGUAGGUGAGAGCUUCGGCGCAUCAUCGACCGAUUCUGAUGUUCUCGGAUGGAUUUGAGUAAGAGCAUAUAGGGUUGGACCCGAAAGAAGGUGAACUAUGCUUGUAUAGGGUGAAGCCAGAGGAAACUCUGGUGGAGGCUCGCAGCGGUUCUGACGUGCAAAUCGAUCGUCAAAUAUGAGCAUGGGGGCGAAAGACUAAUCGAACCUUCUAGUAGCUGGUUCCAGCCGAAGUUUCCCUCAGGAUAGCAGUGUUGAACUUCAGUUUUAUGAGGUAAAGCGAAUGAUUAGGGACUCGGGGGCGCUAUAUUGCCUUCAUCCAUUCUCAAACUUUAAAUAUGUAAGAAGC
rnacentral:rRNA from 1 species